CGCGCAUCGCGCAGAGCACAUGAGUGAAGUUAAAGCAGCAUGCUUAUUUAGCUGUGCCUCGUCUUUCCAAAAGACGGUUUUUAAAUGUUGUCAAAGUCUGAAAUGAAAUUCGUAAAAAAGUGAAUUACCGACUUGGCUCCGCUUUGUCGAGUUAGAAUUCAAACUCCGACUUCAAAUUUUAGCAGUUUUAGAUAUUAGUGUCAACACUUUCCGUCAUGGCUACCUCAUCUCCUAUUAACAUUACAGAUGUAACACCAACACCCGUGGCUCCAAACCAGACUGACUCCACUGUCAUAGGAGUGGUGAUUGUGCUGGUCCUGUUUACACUGGCUGUCGUGGCAUUCUUGCUUUACCGCUACCUGUGUCACAACAAGGGUGCCUAUCGAACAUCAGGAGAGCCUGCGCCAGGGGUGGAUCCUGAUCAAGUUUACCAAGACACGGUCACUGAAAAUAAGAAGGAGUACUUCAUUUGAAAUGCUGAGGACUGAACUGCACAGACUGUUGAGUGAGAUGCCAAUGAUGGACAUACUAAAUAGGUCUGUAUGUUUUAAAGAUGGUGUGUUGGGAAACUUCAUGGUUUCUUUGCUGCAGAAACACAACCACUGUGAAAACAGUGUCAAUGAGAUGAAUAGUUGGGCUGAUGUAGUUUUUGCUUACAUGGUGCUGAUGCAUCAUUGCAUCAUAGCAAAAGUGAGGUGGUCAAAUAAUGUAACUGAACUUGCUGUUACCAUUUUUUUGUUUUUUUUCCUGCUAGUUUUAAUAUAUGCUUAGGAUAUUUUUUUGACCUGGCAAACUGUUAUCCACAUUCUUAGUACACUUCCAUGCAUCUGAUGCCUCAUGCCAGUUAUGGGUUGUGAUACACCUGCCACCACUGUUUCAAACAGUAGUUGGAGGACUGUAGCGCGACUUGAGUUCAUAAGAACCUAAACAACCACUUUCCUGAACACAUUUCUGACUUCAGGCCAGGUGUAAAUCAUUGCUGUUGUGCAAAAAUGUCUAAUUCCAUUUUGUCACUUUUUUUGUAUAAUCUGAAAAUUCUAGUAACACUGUGUUGUGUAGUUUUCUGAGAUUUAAGGUUUUGUACCAAGAGUGAUAUGUAGAUUUUCUCUACCAUUAUGUAGGCUUUCUGAAGUAUGUUUUUCCAGUCCUGGUCAUAGAGUACCCCUGCCCUGCAUGUUUUGAUAUCUAACCUGCUCUAACACACUUGAUGCAACAAAUCUAGUAAUUAACAAGCCUUUGCUGAGUACACCUGGCUAUGUGAACCAGGUAACAUGCUAAACCAGGCAUGUCCAACUGGGGACUUUCCAGACGAAAGUGCUAUAGAGAUUAGCAUUUACUAUCCUCCAAUGCUCUGAAAUUCAUGAAGGCCUUACUGAUUAGCUGAUGCAGACACACAAACAUUUAAAAAAAUGUAGAAAUUGGGACUAUGUCUACCCUUGGAUUGGAUUAAUAAAAUGCAGACAUUAAGAGUAGUAUCCUAGCAUCAUCUAAAUAUUUUGCAGUUCAGUACUAUAAAUAGUGGUCAGAUCUAAACAUCUUUGUCAACAUCUAACUUUAAAGUAAUAAAAUUAAGUAAUUCUAGUAAUGGUGAUACAUUUUUUAAAAUAAAAUAUGUUCCAGUAGUCAUGACUCCAGUAUCAUCAUGCAUCCCUACAGCUAACAGUAUACAAUGAUCAGGCAACAUUAUGGCCACCACCUUGUUUCUACGUUCAUUGUCCAUUUUAUCAGAUCCACUUACUAUAUAGGUGCGCUUUGUAGUUUACAAUUACAGACUGUAGUCCAUCUAUUUCUCUGCAUAUGUUGUUAGCCACCUUUUUAACCUGUUCUUCAGUGGUUAGGACCCCCAUGGACCCUCAUGGAGCAGGUACUAUUUGGGUGGUGGAUCAUUCUCAGCAACGCUGAUGUGGUGUGUUGGUGUGUGUUGUGCUGGGGUGAGUGGAUUAGACACCGUAUUGCUGCUGGAGUUUAUAAACACCUCAGUGUCACUGCUGGUCCGCCAACCAAAAACAUCCAGCCAACAGUGUCAUGUGACUACUGCAGAAGGACUAGGGGAUGACCAAUACAACCUGUGCAGUAGCAGAUGAGGUGAAAGUCUGUGACUUUACAUCUACAAGGUGGAUUGACAGGCUAGGACUGUCUAAUAGAGUGGACAGUGUGUGGACACAGUGUUUAAAAACUCCAGCAGCACUUCUGCGUCUGAUCCACUUGUACCAGCACAAUACACACAAAUACAUCAGCACCACAUCAGUGUUACUGCAGUGCUCAUGGAUGCAAUGUAUCACUGCUGAAAAGUCACCCCCAAAAAAUCUCUAGGUCAGUAUGCAGAUAUGCGUUCUGUACUGCAAAAAUAAAUGCUUUGUGGGAGAGAAACAAUUUAGCCAAGGAUGGCGAUUUGCUAGCUAGCUUGUUAGGUUUUUAUUGUCAUUGUAUUUUGGCUGCAUAGACUAGAGGAAUUUUGGAGUGUAGCAUGCUGUUAUUAGUGGCAGAUUCUGACAUGUAUUCUUAUUAGGAGGUCACAUCUGGCGUCGCAACACUACCUGCCACCUUGUCAGUCACAAAAUAAACCAGACACACUACACUAGUAAACUAACUGCUCUAACUACAAUAGUAGUGCCAAAUAAUAUGUAUCACAACCCAUAACUGAUCAUACAAAGCAAGGCAGCCUGUGGUUGACACCUAAGGUUGGUGUAUCUAACAAAACGGCUGCGUAUUUAAAAAAAAAAAAAAAAUCCACUGAUAUGGGUAAUAAUUUCCAACUUUGCUGCUAGAAUCAGAUCGUUUGAAGUUGUGCAUUUUGCUUGCAAGUUUUUAGUUACCAAAUCCAGUAACAAUGUUUGGGAGAGAAUAUUUUCUGUAACCUCAUGGGUUAAGAAUACUGCAAUAAACCUAUUGUACUGGUAUUUUCAAUACUGUUUUUAUGUAAUGUUUCAACGAACUCUUAUGCUGAAAGCAUUUUUAUUGACUUGAGUUCUCAUCUCUCCAAGAUAAAUGCCGGCCAUUUUGUCAUACUGAAGGAUAUAUAAAUCAAGCUGUAAUGCAAUCAAAUCGCUCCAUUCCCAGAAGCCAUAAGUAAGAAAAUAUGCAUGCUUUAUUGCCGCAUUGUAUCUUACACACACACAACUUGUGUUUGUGGGUGUAUGUGUGUGUGUGUGUGUGUGUGUGUGUGUCUUGUUUUUGUUUGAUCAGGAUCCUAUUGUUACAUAAAUGAGUUCAUUUUAAGUUUUUUUUUUUUUUGUCUCCACAUAUUUAAAAUGAAAAUAAAGAGGACCUACAUAAAGGCCCAUAAAUAUUUGUA